rnacentral:lncRNA from 1 species
UGAUAGACCAGAAUGUGGAGGAGAUGAUGCGGGAGGUGGACAGGUUGCGUGGGUUACCCCUGUGCAGUUCUUAUUGGGAGAAAGUGACUGAAUAGAACUUGUUUGACCACUAGUAGCUAUCAUAUGGGUUUUUAUCAUAUGUGACCAGUAGUUUAUAUAACUUAUGUGUUGGAAAGUUUAGGGUGGUAUGGUGUUUGAUGGUGGAGGUUUGAUUUGGAGUGGGUUAUAUUUAUUUCCUGGUGAGAAUGGAUUGGUGAGGUAAUAACUUGGGUUACAACCCGGCUAGAAUCGGGUGUCCGAUUUAUUCUUUCUUUGAAUCUUUGUCGUCGUGGGUCUUUAAUGUGUGUGGGCUGGAUGUUGUCUGUUUAUAUGGGAAAAAGAGGCUGACGGCUGGAUGUUGUCUGUGUAAUCUAGCUAGUUUGAUGUGGUAAUCUUGGUACGAUUCUACUGUUAUGGUUUCGAUCUAAAAGGAUUGAUGCUCUUAACUGACAGCAUUCAGGUCUCUGAAGAGGCGAAGAAGAAAUAUGCUUUUGAAAAUUGAAACUCGCCUCAAUGCCAUAGAGAUAGAGGAUAGAGCCUAAUUUAGGUAGAGAGCUGUACCUGGAUUAUUCUUUACCUUUUCUUGCUCAGUCUUUAAUUUUUCGUGUUUGAGUUGGCUCCGGUGAGGAUGAGAAAAAGGUUGGGAACAAACCUUUUUGUGUAACG